AAUACAUUCAGCUCACAUUAAGUUUGGUCACAGUAAUGUUGACAUGUUUGAAUAAAACAAACCACAGCUGUAUGUUUGUUUGCGCCUAUGUGGACAUAAAAUGUGGGGAAACUGCUUUCAAAUUUUCACUUUGUUCUUUAGUUUUACUUUUUCUGCUAGUUUGACUGUAAAAUGCAAAAAUGGAAGCACUUAAACAUUUUACACAAACACAUCUAUAUAUACACUUUUAUUCCUGUCAAUAAAUACAGCACUAUUACUAUCACUGUUACACUGUUUACAUCAUCUUGAUUUGCUGCCAUUUCUGCUGCCAACAGGUGUGUGUAGACUUGUGGCAGAGCUUGUCACAGCAAUCUCCAAAAUUAUGUUGUUCACUUUCUGUCCAAUACACUUUUCAGCUUUACAAUGCAAAUUGUAAGUUUUUUUGUACAGCCCACAAUUCCAAGGAUCUAAUUCUCCAGAAAUAUGAAGUUGUGCUGAUUGAAUAGUGUUAUGUCGAGCCUUAAUAUGUCAUUUUUCAUUCUUUCAUACAACCCCGUGAAUGUCACCAGCAAGACUCUUGUAAAAUG